CCUAAUUCAUAAAGAUGCCACUUGUUUAAAACUCAGUUUUGUUUUAUAGGUAUUAUCCUUAUCAUUAUGCACCUUUCCUAUCUGAUAUACGCAACAUCAGUACACUCAAAAUCCAUUUUGAACUAGGAAAACCUUUUAAGCCAUUUGAACAGCUUCUUGCUGUACUUCCAGCAGCCAGCAAAAAUUUACUUCCUACAUGCUACCAGCAUUUGAUGACCAAUGAAGACUCACCAAUUAUAGAAUAUUACCCACUUGAUUUUAAAACUGACCUAAAUGGGAAACAACAGGAAUGGGAAGCUGUGGUGUUAAUCCCUUUUAUUGA
rnacentral:sRNA from 1 species